UUGAACGCUGGCGGCAUGCCUUACACAUGCAAGUCGAACGGCAGCACGGGGGCGACCCUGGUGGCGAGUGGCGAACGGGUGAGUAACGCAUCGGAACGUACCCGGAAGUGGGGGAUAACGUAGCGAAAGUUACGCUAAUACCGCAUAUUCUGUGAGCAGGAAAGAGGGGGAUCGCAAGACCUCUCGCUUCCGGAGCGGCCGAUGUCGGAUUAGCUAGUUGGCGGGGUAAAGGCCCACCAAGGCGACGAUCCGUAGCGGGUCUGAGAGGAUGAUCCGUCACACUGGAACUGAGACACGGUCCAGACUCCUACGGGAGGCAGCAGUGGGGAAUUUUGGACAAUGGGGGCAACCCUGAUCCAGCCAUUCCGCGUGAGUGAAGAAGGCCUUCGGGUUGUAAAGCUCUUUCAGCCGGAACGAAACGGUACGCUCUAACAUAGCGUGCUAAUGACGGUACCGGCAGAAGAAGCACCGGCUAACUACGU
rnacentral:rRNA from 1 species